CCUACGGGAGGCAGCAGUGGGGAAUAUUGCACAAUGGGGGAAACCCUGAUGCAGCGACGCCGCGUGAGUGAAGAAGUAUUUCGGUAUGUAAAGCUCUAUCAGCAGGGAAGAAAAUGACGGUACCUGAUUAAGAAGCCCCGGCUAACUACGUGCCAGCAGCCGCGGUAAUACGUAGGGGGCAAGCGUUAUCCGGAUUUACUGGGUGUAAAGGGAGCGUAGACGGUGAUGCAAGUCAGAAGUGAAAGCCCGGGGCUCAACUCCGGGACUGCUUUUGAAACUGUGUGACUGGAGUGCAGGAGAGGUAAGCGGAAUUCCUGGUGUAGCGGUGAAAUGCGUAGAUAUAUGGAAGAACACCAGUGGCGAAGGCGAGAACUUAGGCUAUCACUGACGCUUAGGCUCGAAAGUGUGGGGAGCAAAUAGGAUUAGAUACCCUAGUAGUC
rnacentral:rRNA from 1 species